GGCGCUGUGGCUUAGUUGGUUAAAGCGCCUGUCUUGUAAACAGGAGAUCCUGAGUUCGUUGGUUAAAGCGCCUCUUAGCAGUGCCU
rnacentral:tRNA from 1 species